ACGGGAGGCAGCAGUGGGGAAUAUUGGGCAAUGGGCGAAAGCCUGACCCAGCAACGCCGCGUGAAGGAAGAAGGUCUUCGGAUUGUAAACUUCUUUUAUGAGGGACGAAGGACGUGACGGUACCUCAUGAAUAAGCCACGGCUAACUACGUGCCAGCAGCCGCGGUAAUACGUAGGUGGCAAGCGUUAUCCGGAUUUACUGGGUGUAAAGGGCGCGUAGGCGGGGUGGCAAGUCAGAUGUGAAAUCUAUGGGCUUAACUCAUAAACUGCAUUUGAAACUGUCACUCUUGAGUGCUGGAGAGGUAGACGGAAUUCCUUGUGUAGCGGUGAAGUGCGUAGAUAUAAGGAAGAACACCAGUGGCGAAGGCGGUCUACUGGACAGUAACUGACGCUAAGGCGCGAAAGCGUGGGGAGCAAACAGGAUUAGAUACCCUGGUA
rnacentral:rRNA from 1 species